GAAUGUGAGGGGUAUCUGGCUGUGACAUGUUACCCCAUUGAUCCCCAGGGUUGAUUCAGCUCAUCUGGCUGGCUCGGCAGGUGUCCCCUUCCUCCCUCACUGCUCCAUGUGCGUCCCUCCCGAAGCUGAAGCUGCAUGCUCGGUCAAAGAGGACGACCAUCCCAAAUAGAGGAGGACUGGUCUUGGGUCAAGGGUAUACAAGUAGCUGCGCUCCCCUGCUAGAACUUUCGAGGAAGCUCUCAAGGUCCAAAUAGUGGAAAAUGAAAGUACAGGUUGAUUCAUGUUGGCAGGUUUUGGUAUUUAAAAAAAAAACUAAAAAGCACACAUGGGGGAUAU
rnacentral:snRNA from 1 species